CAGCAGUGGGGAAUAUUGGACAAUGGGCGCAAGCCUGAUCCAGCCAUGCCGCGUGGGUGAAGAAGGCCUUCGGGUUGUAAAGCCCUUUUGUUGGGAAAGAAAAGCAGCCGGUUAAUACCCGGUUGUUCUGACGGUACCCAAAGAAUAAGCACCGGCUAACUUCGUGCCAGCAGCCGCGGUAAUACGAAGGGUGCAAGCGUUACUCGGAAUUACUGGGCGUAAAGCGUGCGUAGGUGGUUGUUUAAGUCCGUUGUGAAAGCCCUGGGCUCAACCUGGGAAUUGCAGUGGAUACUGGGCAACUAGAGUGUGGUAGAGGAUGGCGGAAUUCCCGGUGUAGCAGUGAAAUGCGUAGAGAUCGGGAGGAACAUCUGUGGCGAAGGCGGCCAUCUGGACCAACACUGACACUGAGGCACGAAAGCGUGGGGAGCAAACAGGAUUAGAUACCCUGGUAGUCCACGCCCUAAACGAUGUCUACUAGUUGUUGGGUCUUAAUUGACUUAGUAACGCAGCUAACGCGUGAAGUAGACCGCCUGGGGAGUACGGUCGCAAGAUUAAAACUCAAAGGAAUUGACGGGGACCCGCACAAGCGGUGGAUGAUGUGGAUUAAUUCGAUGCAACGCGAAAAACCUUACCUACCCUUGACAUGUCAGGAAUCCCGAAGAGAUUUGGGAGUGCCCGAAAGAGAGCCUGAACAC
rnacentral:rRNA from 1 species